CCUGCAUAAAAACUGUCAUCUUACUUUACAGCUGGAAAAUUUAUUUAGAAACUCUAGAAGUAUUUAACUCUAUAGUCUAAAAUUACCAAUCCUUGGUUACUCUUAUCAUGAUAUACAGCUAUUAACAAACAGCAUCUUUCGAUAGUGAAUAUAUAGCAUUAGCUUUCCGGGUCCCAAACAAAGAAGAGCUGAGCCAUAGGGAUCACUUGAGGGUAUGCUGUGGGGUUACCGAUGAGACACAUUUCUAGCAUUGCGGCAUCGACGUUCCUGUUAAAUUGCUAAUUAUCAGUUGAAUACCAGUAUUGAAAUUAUAAUGUUUUAUCACAUUAAAGCAAUUACAUUCGUUUGAAUAUCGAUAUCUUUAACAAUCAUUGCAU